AGAGAGUUCAAAGGGUCUUGGCUCCAACAGUGGGAAUAAUUAACUCUACACUGAACAUUGCUCUGGUGCCACGCAAACCAUCUUAAACAAAUGAACAAAAUGAGGAAACCAUGUCCAAGUAAAACUAACCUGCAUCCCAGAACAAAACUACCCGAGAUUUACAGGAAUACAAAAAUAUGAAACAUUCAACAAGGUAAAACUCGCAGUUUCUGAUGUACAAUCAAAAACUGCCUGGCAUGCAAAGAAAAGGAUAAUACUCCCUAGUGAGAAUAAUCAAUCGAUUGAAACCAAGCCAGAACUGACACAGAUAUUAAAAUAAGAAAAUGACAUCAUGGCUUAUUAAUACGGCUUACAUCCCCCAAUACAAUCUGCUGCCACCUAAUUCUCCAGCCGCCAGUUCUCCCCUCAACACUGUACCCUUAAACUCUACUGAUUUUAUUUCAGUUCUGCAGAAACAUCAAGCUCCUUCUUGAUUUCACAGUUAACAAUCUCCCCUGGCUAUAAUGCUCGUGCAUCCAAUGUGGUGUGAAGGGAAAGUCUCUAAAGAAGAAAAACAACUUCCCAAUUUGAGGUAUUUAACAAUAUCAGUGCUGUAAAUACUCCCACUAUGAUCAAUGUCAAGCUGUCAAUGGUUCAACAACCAGCUUGCCAAUCUCCUGAGUUUUUAACAAUCAACUCUCCUGAGCUGGUACCAGUGUGCAUUCACCCCUCCCAUCAUCUGACGGCAGCCUAAUCACUCAUCCUCAGGUCUCAAGUUCAGCGGCAGAUCCCCUGGGAAGCUUCCAUGAUCCUUCAAAUGUUACAAAGCUGAAGAUCCUUGAACUAUACUUCGGUUAUUUUUCACAUACAAAAAGAAAGUCAUGUGCAAACAAGUACACAGAAUAGAGAAUGUAACUGACAGCAACUGUGCAGAAAUUUACAGCGAGAAUGCCAAGGUCACGAUUACUGCAUGUAUUCUCAUCCUAGCAUCUGGCAGGAACCGUGAGACAUCUCUCCUUCCUCCCUCACAGAGAUUUCCAGAUGAUGGGGCUAGAAUGAGUCUCAGUGUUAUCCCUUGAACUAGAUUUCAAAAAGUAAAUAGAGACCA